GAACUACUUCCUCCGUCCGGAAAUACUCGUCGGAGAUACUCGUCGGAGGAAUGGAUGUAUCUAGAUGUAUUUUAGUUUUAAAUACAUUCAUUUUUAUGCAUUUUUUCGACAAGUAUUUCCGGACGGAGGGAGUAUUUA
rfam:Triticum aestivum genome assembly, contig: Triticum_aestivum_CS42_TGACv1_scaffold_592178_7BS